rnacentral:rRNA from 1 species
AUCGAACGCUGGCGGCAGGCCUAACACAUGCAAGUCGAACGAGCGGCGGAAGGUUGAGUAAUGUCUGGGAAACCGCCGGAAGGAGGGGGAUCACUACUGGAAACGGUAGCUAAUACCGCAUACCAUCAGAUUUCCCCAGAUGGGAUUAGCUAGUAGGUGGGGUAACGGCUCACCUAGGCGACGAUCCGUACCUGGUCUGCGAGGAUGAUCAGCCACACUGGAACUGAGACACGGUCCAGACUCCUACGGGAGGCAGCAGUGGGGAAUUUUGCACAAUGGGCGCAAGCCUGAUGGAGCCAUGCCGCGUGUGUGAAGAAGGCCUUCGGGUUGUAAAGCACUUUCAGCGGGGAGGCGUUACCCGCAGAAGAAGCAACGGCUAACUACGUGCCAGCAGCCGCGGUAAUUC